rnacentral:rRNA from 1 species
AUUGAACGCUGGCGGCAGGCUUAACACAUGCAAGUCGAGCGAGCGGCGGACGGGUGAGUAAUGCCUGGGAAUCUGGCUGAUGGAGGGGGAUAACUACGGGAAACUGUAGCUAAUACCGCAUACCAUCAGCUGUGCCCAGUGGGGAUUAGGUAGUUGUUGCGGUAAAGGCUCACCAAGCCGACGAUCUCUACCUGGUCUGAGAGGAUGACCAGCCACACUGGGACUGAGACACGGCCCAGACUCCUACGGGAGGCAGAAGUGGGGAAUAUUGCGCAAUGGGGGCAAGCCUGAUGCAGCCAUGCCGCGUGAAUGAAGAAGGCCUUCGGGUUGUAAAGUACUUUAAGUGGGGAGGCGUUACCAACAGAAGAAGCACCGGCUAACUCCGUGCCAGCAGCCGCGGUAAUUC